rnacentral:rRNA from 1 species
GAUGAACGCUGGCGGCGUGCCUAAUACAUGCAAGUCGAGCGAACAGACGCGUAGCUUGCUGCUGUGACGUUAGCGGCGGACAGGGGAGUAACACGUGGAGAACCUCCUUAUAAGACUGGGAUAACUUCGGGAAACCGGAGCGAAUACCGGGGAAUAUAUUGAACCGCAUGGUUCAAUAGUGAAAGACGGUUUUGCUGUCACUUAUAGAUGGAUCCGCGCCGUAUUAGCUAGUUGGUAAGGUAACGGCUUACCAAGGCAACGAUGCGUAGCCGACCUGAGAGGGUGGUCGGCCGCCCUGGAACUGAGGCACGGUCCAGACUCCUACGGGAGGCAGCAGUAGGGAAUCUUCCGCAAUGGGCGAAAGCCUGACGGAGCAACGACGCGUGAGUGAUGAAGGUCUUCGGCUCGUAAAGCUCUGUUUUUAGGGAAGAACAAAUGUGUAAGUAACUAUGCACGUCUUGACGGUACCUAAUCAGAAAGCCACGGCUAACUACGUG